GAAAUGCGAUAAGUAAUGUGAAUUGCAGAAUUCAACGAAUCAUCGAAUCUUUGAACGCACAUUGCGCCCUCUGGUAUUCCGGGGGGCAUGCCUGUUCGAGCGUCGCAAAAACCUUCCUCACACUUGUUGUGGUCAUGGCGGGUGCGCGUGGUCCUUUCCACCCGUGCACCGCUGAAAUCGAUUGGCGGACCGUCCUCGGGAGCUGGUGUAGUAAGUUACAAUUCUCAUCACGAUCCCAGGGGAAAGCUGUCUUGCCGUUGAACCCCCAUACAUCUCCAUAGGUUGACCUCGGAUCAGGUAGGGAUACCCGCUGAACUUAA
rnacentral:misc_RNA from 1 species